rnacentral:rRNA from 2 species
UCAGGAUGAACGCUGGCGGCGUGCCUAAUACAUGCAAGUCGAACGAGUUCUCGUUGAUGAUCGGUGCUUGCACCGAGAUUCAACAUGGAACGAGUGGCGGACGGGUGAGUAACACGUGGGUAACCUGCCCUUAAGUGGGGGAUAACAUUUGGAAACAGAUGCUAAUACCGCAUAGAUCCAAGAACCGCAUGGUUCUUGGCUGAAAGAUGGCGUAAGCUAUCGCUUUUGGAUGGACCCGCGGCGUAUUAGCUAGUUGGUGAGGUAAUGGCUCACCAAGGCGAUGAUACGUAGCCGAACUGAGAGGUUGAUCGGCCACAUUGGGACUGAGACACGGCCCAAACUCCUACGGGAGGCAGCAGUAGGGAAUCUUCCACAAUGGACGCAAGUCUGAUGGAGCAACGCCGCGUGAGUGAAGAAGGCUUUCGGGUCGUAAAACUCUGUUGUUGGAGAAGAAUGGUCGGCAGAGUAACUGUUGUCGGCGUGACGGUAUCCAACCAGAAAGCCACGGCUAACUACGUGCCAGCAGCCGCGGUAAUACGUAGGUGGCAAGCGUUAUCCGGAUUUAUUGGGCGUAAAGCGAGCGCAGGCGGUUUUUUAAGUCUGAUGUGAAAGCCCUCGGCUUAACCGAGGAAGCGCAUCGGAAACUGGGAAACUUGAGUGCAGAAGAGGACAGUGGAACUCCAUGUGUAGCGGUGAAAUGCGUAGAUAUAUGGAAGAACACCAGUGGCGAAGGCGGCUGUCUGGUCUGUAACUGACGCUGAGGCUCGAAAGCAUGGGUAGCGAACAGGAUUAGAUACCCUGGUAGUCCAUGCCGUAAACGAUGAAUGCUAGGUGUUGGAGGGUUUCCGCCCUUCAGUGCCGCAGCUAACGCAUUAAGCAUUCCGCCUGGGGAGUACGACCGCAAGGUUGAAACUCAAAGGAAUUGACGGGGGCCCGCACAAGCGGUGGAGCAUGUGGUUUAAUUCGAAGCAACGCGAAGAACCUUACCAGGUCUUGACAUCUUUUGAUCACCUGAGAGAUCAGGUUUCCCCUUCGGGGGCAAAAUGACAGGUGGUGCAUGGUUGUCGUCAGCUCGUGUCGUGAGAUGUUGGGUUAAGUCCCGCAACGAGCGCAACCCUUAUGACUAGUUGCCAGCAUUUAGUUGGGCACUCUAGUAAGACUGCCGGUGACAAACCGGAGGAAGGUGGGGAUGACGUCAAAUCAUCAUGCCCCUUAUGACCUGGGCUACACACGUGCUACAAUGGAUGGUACAACGAGUUGCGAGACCGCGAGGUCAAGCUAAUCUCUUAAAGCCAUUCUCAGUUCGGACUGUAGGCUGCAACUCGCCUACACGAAGUCGGAAUCGCUAGUAAUCGCGGAUCAGCACGCCGCGGUGAAUACGUUCCCGGGCCUUGUACACACCGCCCGUCACACCAUGAGAGUUUGUAACACCCGAAGCCGGUGGCGUAACCCUUUUAGGGAGCGAGCCGUCUAAGGUGGGACAAAUGAUUAGGGUGAAGUCGUA